CUCGUUCUCAUGCAUCAGAAGAAGAAAAUCGCAGAAGUGUAAACGGGCCUCUUUAGUUAUACGGUGAAUAUCAGGAUUUUGGGCAUCCAAAGUACUAAAAUGUUGAAGGGUUUUGUAUAGAUGGAAAUUUCGAGUGUAAAAUUAUUGCUGCCGAAUGCAGCAUUCUAAUCUUCACGGUAUUACUGUAGUGCCCAGUUUCUUUGACCGAGUUAUAAUUAUUGGACGUGAAAUCUCGAUUUUCAUCUUAUUGAGGGAGGUCAAGGGGGGGGGAUCAUGUCGGAAAUAUUCAUCGUACGUUACACAUCUAUCGGUAUUAUAUAGUAUCCGCCUUUAAAGAAUUUUUUAUGGUAAAUAUAGUCGUUUGUUAAGAAUAAAUUAUGUCUUUAGUUGCUCGUGGAAGUAUUCAGCAGGGCCACGAACUCUUUAGUGAACAAUUGCGAGGGAAACAAUGCUCGUUUAUGUGUUUAUCGGCGCUCUUUAUAACUGCUCAAGCCAUGCCCGUUUUUCAGUGGACCACAUGUAAAUUAGAUAUAAAUACUUCAUAGUUUGCCUCAUUGGGCUGUACUUCAUAGUUUGCCUCAUUGGGCUAUAUUUCUGCCUUCAUUGGGCUGUAUUUCUGCCUUAUCGGGCUGUAUUUGUGCCUCACUGGGCUGUAUUGGUGCCUCAUCCGGCU